rnacentral:misc_RNA from 1 species
GAUGAUGAACGUAGCGAAAUGCGAUAAGUAGUGUGAAUUGCAGAAUUCAGUGAAUCAUCGAAUCUUUGAACGCACAUUGCGCCCUUUGGUAUUCCUUAGGGCAUGCCUGUUCGAGCGUCAUUUAAACCUUCAAGCUCAGCUUGGUGUUGGGUGACUGUCCGCUUCACCGCGGACUCGCCUCAAAAUUAUUGGCGGCCGGUACAUUGGCUUCGAGCGCAGCAGAAACGCGAACUCGGGCCCGUCGUAUUGGCUCCCAGAAGCUAUCUUCACAAUUUUGACCUCGGAUCAGGUAGGGAUACCCGCUGAACUUAAGCAUAUCAAUAAGCGGAGGA